UGAGGUAGUAGUUAGAA
rnacentral:miRNA from 1 species